UCAAGUUAUUAAGGGUGCAGGGCGGAUGCCUUGGCACUAGGAGCCGAUGAAGGACGUGAUAAGCUGCGAUAAGCUUCGGGGAGUUGCACGUAAACUUUGAUCCGAAGAUUUCCGAAUGAGGAAACUCACUUAGAGUAAUGUCUAAGUAUCAUUAAGUGAAUACAUAGCUUAAUGAGGGGAACUCAGGGAACUGAAACAUCUAAGUACCUGAAGGAAGAGAAAGAAAUUCGAUUCCGUAAGUAGCGGCGAGCGAACGCGGAUUAGCCCAAACCAAUAAAGUUUUCUUUAUUGGGGUUGCGGACAUAUCAUAACGAAGAGGUAUCGUAAUUGAAGAGGUUUGGAAAGACCCACCACAGAAGGUAAUAGUCCUGUAUGUUAAACGAGAAGACUUUAGAUAUGAUCCAGAGUACCACGGGACACGUGAAACCCUGUGGGAAGCAGGAGGGACCACCCUCCAAGGCUAAAUACUACCUAGUGACCGAUAGCGUAUAGUACCGUGAGGGAAAGGUGAAAAGAACCCCGGGAGGGGAGUGAAAUAGAACCUGAAACCCUGCACUUACAAGCUGUGGAAGCACAUUUCUUGUGUGACCGCGUACUUUUUGUAGAACGGGCCAACGAGUUACGUUAAGUAGCAAGGUUAAGCACUUAAGGUGCGGAGCCGUAGCGAAAGCGAGUUUUAACUGAGCGUUCAGUUACUUGACGUAGACCCGAAACCGGGCGACCUACCCAUGAGCAGGAUGAAGCGAAAGUAAAAUUUCGUGGAGGUCCGAACCCACGAGCGUUGAAAAGCUCGGGGAUGACUUGUGGGUAGCGGUGAAAUUCCAAUCGAGCCCGGAGAUAGCUGGUUCUCCCCGAAAUAGCUUUAGGGCUAGCCUCAAGGUGAGAGAUACGGAGGUAGAGCACUGAAUGUCCUAGGGGGUAUUGCACCUACCGAAGACUAUCAAACUCCGAAUGCCGUCAUCUUAUACUUGGGAGUCAGACUGUGGGUGAUAAGAUUCAUAGUCGAAAGGGCAACAGCCCAGAUCGUCAGCUAAGGUCCCUAAAUGUAAGUUAAGUGGUAAAGGAUGUGGGAUUGCACAGACAACCAGGAUGUUGGCUUAGAAGCAGCCACUCAUUCAAAGAGUGCGUAAUAGCUCACUGGUCGAGUGAUCCUGCGCCGAAGAUUUCCGGGGCUAAAACUUACUACCGAAGCUACGGCAUCAGUAAUGAUGGGUAGGGGAGCUUCCCAUACGGGUUGAAGCAUGACCGUAAGGACAUGUGGACAGUAUGGGAGUGAGAAUGUUGGCAUGAGUAGCGAGAUGUGGGUGAGAAUCCCACAGGCCGUAAACCCAAGGUUUCCAGGGGAAGGUUCGUCCGCCCUGGGUUAGUCGGGACCUAAGCUGAGGCCGAAAGGCGUAGGUGAUGGACAACAGGUUGAUAUUCCUGUACUACCGAUAACCGUUUGAGAGAAGGGAUGACACAGUAGGAUAAGCUAAGCACACUGUUGGUUAUGUGUGCCCAAGCAUUGAGGCAGUCAAAGUAGGCAAAUCCGCUUUGAUAAUGCUGGGAUGUGAUGGGGAGCGAAAUUUAGUAGCGAAGUAGCUGAUUUCACACUGUCAAGAAAAGUCUCUAUCGAGGUUAAAGGUACCCGUACCGCAAACCGACACAGGUGGGUGAGGAGAGUAUCCUAAGGCCAGCGAGAGAACUGUUGUUAAGGAACUCGGCAAAAUGACCCCGUAACUUAGGGAUAAGGGGUGCCACCAUCAGGUGGCCGCAGAGAAUAGGCCCAAGCGACUGUUUACCAAAAACAUAGGUUUCUGCUAAGUCGCAAGACGAUGUAUAGGAGCUGACGCCUGCCCGGUGCUGGAAGGUUAAGGGGAUCUGUUAGAGCAAUCGAAGCAGUGAACUUAAGCCCCAGUAAACGGCGGCCGUAACUAUAACGGUCCUAAGGUAGCGAAAUUCCUUGUCGGGUAAGUUCCGACCCGCACGAAAGGCGUAACGAUUUGGGCACUGUCUCAAC
rnacentral:rRNA from 1 species